GCCUCAUCAUUACUGGCCCUUUGCUACCAGUGAUCUUUAUAAUUGGCGCCGACAACACGCCAAUUUUUCUGAUAACCCUAGAGAUUUAAUUAACCUGUUAAAAACCGUUUUGUUUACCCAUCAGCCCACUUGAGAUAACUGUCAACAGCUUCUGCAGGUCCUGUUCACCACUGAAAAACGAGAAAAAAUCCAGAAUGAGGCCAAAAAAUUGGUUCCUAGUGACAGUGGUCAGCCCACCACCAAUGCAGACACCAUCAACACUUCUUUUCCUCUGUCCCGACCUAACUGAGACUUCAACACGACAAAAGCCUCCAAAGUGUACACAAAGACAUCUGGCCUAAGUUAAAAGCCUUAUACCAGACCAGACCACCUCCUGAGCCCCAUCACUACCGACCUAGAGACUAGAUCUUCGUUCAGAGACACCGACAAAAAGACCUUGAGCCCCGUUAAAAAAAACCCUACGUCACAGUCCUGACCACGCCCACUGCUCUCAAGGUCGACGGGAUUGCUUCAUAGAUACACUACACCCACGUUCACCCUACAGAUCCUCACACUGUCCUAAAAGACUUCGUUCCAUCAUGACAGGUGUCCAGAGACCAAGACAGUCCCCUCAAACUCAAGCUACGUCGUCGACGAUCGUGAUUAUAAUAACUGUACUUUUGACACCGACACUAAAAAGACAAAACCCAUAUGCUCCCUUAAAUUUAACCUAGAUGAUCAUUAAUACGUCUACAGACAACAUUGUUAACAGUUCAUCCAAAGUGGCUCCACCACUUACCUGGUGGCCAGACCUAGACUUUGACCUAUAUUCACUCGCCACAGAGACUUAAAACACUAAAAACUAAAAAAUCGGGCCUAAAAAAGAGCCAAUAUAUAAAAAAGACAUAGGCCAAUAUAAUACUAAUAAAACAUCCCUGCCCAUGGCUCCAGUACCCAUGGCCCCUCCUAGACUUGACCCUGGGUGUAGCCAUUCUCUUGAUAAAAACAUCCUACAAAACACCCCCUUUUAUGUUUGUCCGAAAAAAAGACACACACAGUCUCAGAUAAACAAGUGCGGGGGACCUGACCAGUUCUAUUGUGCCAAAUAAAGAUGUAAGUCCACAGACACCGUCUCCUGGGCCCCGCCUGUCAAAGACGAUUUUAUUUCUUUAAAAAGAGUCCCUGGGCCCCCUGGCCUGCAGACAAAUCAAAAGGGUGGUAAUUUCUUAGUUCUUAGUGGCCCCUGUACCGGGUUCCUCUGUAACCCGGUCAGACUUUCAUUCACAGAUUCAGAUAAAAGGUACACUAAAUAAAAAACAGGCCAGACUUAGAGACUCCGUCUAUAUCAAGAUGGUUAUGAUACCGGGUUGUUAUUCACUAUAAAACUAAAGACAGAGCCACUCACCAUAGGGUCUCCCCAAUUGAUAAGACCAAACUUGACGCUAGCUCCAAUAACCCCUUUCAGACCUAUUAAACCCCCUCCCCCAAAAAGCUCGCCUAUGUCACCAAAACCAAACGCCUCCGUACGGCCAUCAGACUUAACCUCCACUUCCACAUCCCCGCCCUUGAUUCAAAUGAUCACCCAGAUUGAUAAAGUCAAUCAUAACCGAAACCAAGACCCCCUUUAAAAACUGAUGGUUCACACCUUUAAAGCCCUAAAUACAUCUAGGCCAGACCUCACUCAGUCCUGCUGGCUAUGUUAUGAUACUAAGCCCCCAUACUAUAAAACAGUAGCUUAUCUAGACAAUUUCACUAAGUCAGACAGCCCGACUCAAUGUAGAUAACAACAAAAAGAGACAACUAGGCUGACCCUACAAUCGAUAACUAGACAAAAAACUUGUGUCACAGUGUCCCGGCCUCCCACCAACACCUUUAUAACAAAACCAUCCUUAGACCUAGGCCUAAAUAUCUCAUUCCCCCUUAUGACGGGUGGUGGGCCUGUUCCUCUAAACUUACCCCUUGUGUACAUAGACUAAUGUUAAAACAAACAAGAGAUUUCUGUGUACUUGUACAAUUAGUCCCCCGGUUGUUAUAUCACUCAAAAAAAGACAUCCCCAGCCGCCUGGCUAAAACCCAGG